AAAUGUUGCAUUACUUGCAGUAAUCGCUCCAUCUCAUAGUUCUGAAUGUAUAAGUUAUCCAAGCAUUAUCACAUUCUCAAUUAGAAUCCAGUUCGUCUCCAGCCACAGGUAGUCACGAUGGGGCAUCGACCACGAAUUCCUAACGGAAGUUGUUUACAGGAAGAAAGAUGGUUAGCGAUGACGUCGAAAAUGACCUUGCUCUACGGACAACGAUGACUCAAACGUCGUUAAUAGCGCUAACGAUUCCCCGAAAGAGCUUCGGCUCCACCCGUCGUCAUCCAAAAAACCCACUCGGCUGGAACGAAACUGCAACUGCAACUCCUACUUAAAGGUGGGCGCUGGUGAUCAGGGCAUCACAACACCGCCAGACUUGAUUGCGUAAAGAUCCAUUGGACGAAUCCUGCGGCCGGCUGAUAACGCUUAGUUCUUACAGACGAGAACCUCCCAUUACCUGCCUUCGAAAUGAAUAUCUUUCGAACAAUCCUCCUAGUUGCCUUGGCCCUCACCGCCCUCUCCGAUGCUAUGCCUCAGUUUUUCGGCUUUCGACGUCCAGGCUUCUUCGGGCCUCGAGGAGUGAACAGGAGAGGGCGUUUUUAUACGCCUAGUCGCAGCAGAUCCUCCUCCUCCUCACGCAUUGGAAAUCGGGUCGUUCCUGAUCCCUAUGCUUUCGUGAAUGCAGAUGUUUUCCCUGCAGAACCUUUCAUUCUAUGAGGAGCUUCCGACCUGAUUGCGGAUGUCGUGCCGUGAUCCACUGGUGACCAAAAUGGGCUUCGCUAAUACGAAGAUCAUUGUGGAAUGGUGCUUCACCACGAGUGCUUGUUUAUCUGCGUUAUGGUUCUCUGUCAUGGCAGAUAUUGACAGCACAGCUAAAGGGCAUUACCUGAGUGAUUCGUGUGAAACUAUGCAACGAAUGAGUUACCUUAUAUCAUUUGCAAAGCUAAGAGAGUACUUUUUCUUCUGUACCUUGAAGUAUCAAGCUACGCAAGAAGAAGUCGUACCUUCUUUCAAAGCUGACAACGAUAGACCUUUCAACUAGAAAGGUACCAGACAGUGUAUCAAGUGCACUUUUGUAAAUGCACAAAGAUAGGCUUACCAAAUAUGUGCAACUUACCAUUACAUAGAGAAACAAUAUAAAUAUGAGCCACAAAAUUCAUUUAUUUUUAUCGUUGGCACAUGGACCAUAGAACCUUGUUUGUUGUUACUGAAUAAUUAAUCAUGCUUUGAUUGGGUUAAGCUAAACGGAUAUGGAUACGUUAAUUAUAAGACGCUUUAAAACUCGUCCAUCCAUAUCCCAGCUCCGUCAGUUUUUGACACAAGCACUUUUUGUAUCCCAGCCCAUCUGUAUUUGCGCAUUACUUACCAAAAAGUGCUCAAUAUAUAGGCCAAUAUCUCUUUAAUUUUUGUACAAUACUUCGGGUACUAACUGUGAUUUUAAGCAUAAUCAGGGCAUUUGAUCCCAAACUGACUUAAUUUACAGUAUUUUAAAUUUGGAUUGCUAAUUAUUAAGCAAUGUGGUCAGUAAUUUGCAUAUCUGUAAUUAAUUCCCAGUUUGGAUUUGCAACCACCAAAACUUUGAGGUUAAAUCUACUGUAAUUAAGGUGCUAGUCUUUCUUGGCCUCAUACAGUAAUGUAUUUAAAGUACGCUUAGAUGUAUGCAAUUCGUUCGUUACGAAAUAACAUUUAACCAAAGAUUAUGUAUUACUGUUAUUAAAUCUGUUUACCCUAUG